CCCCUUACCUGGCGGGGGACAGACUGUGGUCAGGAAGGGAGUUCUCCCUGGACGAGGCUAGUCCACCACUCUCCGGCUGCGCUGACCCCUGCGAUUUCCCCACACGCGGGGCCCUCCUCCGGGAUGCUGUUUGUGCUACCGGGCGACUGGGUUCGCAUUCUCUCCUG
ensembl:snRNA U1 U1 spliceosomal RNA